AAAAUAAAAAGAUAACAAACAAAACAAAACAUCACUUCCGUCUUUUCCAGACUUAUCUCCAUCAUCGUCUAAACACUCCUGCUUCUCGGUCCAAGAGAAUUCCGACCAUCUUACUUUUUGAUGGAAAAUCAGCCAAACGGUUACCGUGAAAAUUGGAUUGCAGUUGCAAGUGACCGUAGCCUUUGAUGGUUAUGAUUAUUUGAGCUUUUCAUAUUAACUUCAAACAAGGUCCAAACCAGCUUCUCACUCCAUGUCUAGUCCUUCUCUCCUUACACAAGAACAAACACGCUUGAGCUAAAUCAACAGGUCGAUUGUUACUCAAAUGAAGCACUUAAACAAAGCAAAAACAAAAUAUCAGUGAAAUCUCAGAAACAGCCACAGGUGGAUUGAUAACUAUCAUGCUUUCUACUUCUAAGGAGGAUAACCACUCAUUUUAUGAAGCAAGCGACAUUUCCAAUUUCUAGAUGGAGCAAGGCCCUUAAACCUAUCCCAGUUGCAGGUAACCUAGAGUUCCUUUUUCUUUAUUUCCUUGUUUAUUCACUGCUAGUAUUCAACAUAACACUGAUUGCUGCUACUUGAGAUAGAUGAUUAAGUUGAUAUUGGGGGAUCUUGUUAUUAAAUUAAGCAUGGACUCAUACAGUUGCCCAACUUAUUAUCUCAGUAAUAAAUUUAAUUUAAAAAGGGCAAGAAACAAGCCAGUAAGUAUGAAGUGAAUCUCCCAGCUAGUAUAUGGUGGGCAAUAUGGAAGGCAAGGAACUCUAGAGCUUUUGAUAGUGUUGAGAAUAGUAUGCAAAAAGUCAAACUAAAUUGUAUUAUGCUACUGUGUUUUUGGUGUAAUCAAUUAUACUCAAAUGAUACUAUUUCCAUAAUUGAUGUACUAGACUCAAUUUAGUAAAAGAUAGUAGGAUUUGAA